UACAGAGGUGGCAAGCGUUGUUCGGAAUUACUGGGCGUAAAGGGCUCGUAGGCGGCCAACUAAGUCCGACGUGAAAUCCCCAAGCUUAACUUGGGAACCGCGUCGGAUACUGGAUGGCUUGAAUUCGGGAGAGGGAUGCAGAAUUCCAGGUGUAGCGGUGAAAUGCGUAGAUAUCUGGAGGAAUACCGGUGGCGAAGGCGGCAUCCUGGACCGACAUUGACGCUGAGGAGCGAAAGCUAGGGGAGCAAACGGG
rnacentral:rRNA from 1 species